AGCUAACGCGUUAAGUCGACCGCCUGGGGAGUACGGCCGCAAGGUUAAAACUCAAAUGAAUUGACGGGGGCCCGCACAAGCGGUGGAGCAUGUGGUUUAAUUCGAUGCAACGCGAAGAACCUUACCUGGCCUUGACAUCCACGGAAUUCGGCAGAGAUGCCUUAGUGCCUUCGGGAACCGUGAGACAGGUGCUGCAUGGCUGUCGUCAGCUCGUGUUGUGAAAUGUUGGGUUAAGUCCCGCAACGAGCGCAACCCUUAUCCUUUGUUGCCAGCGAUUCGGUCGGGAACUCAAAGGAGACUGCCGGUGAUAAACCGGAGGAAGGUGGGGAUGACGUCAAGUCAUCAUGGCCCUUACGGCCAGGGCUACACACGUGCUACAAUGGCGCAUACAAAGAGAAGCGAACUCGCGAGAGCAAGCGGACCUCAUAAAGUGCGUCGUAGUCCGGAUCGGAGUCUGCAACUCGACUCCGUGAAGUCGGAAUCGCUAGUAAUCGUAGAUCAGAAUGCUACGGUGAAUACGU
rnacentral:rRNA from 1 species